UCGGGAUAACACCUGGAAACAAGAUGCUAAUACCGGAUAACAACAGAUGAUGCCUAUCAACUGUUUAAAAGAUGGUUCUGCUAUCACUCUUGGAUGGACCUGCGGUGCAUUAGCUAGUUGGUAGGGUAACGGCCUACCAAGGCGAUGAUGCAUAGCCGAGUUGAGAGACUGAUCGGCCACAUUGGGACUGAGACACGGCCCAAACUCCUACGGGAGGCAGCAGAU
rnacentral:rRNA from 1 species